GGAGCUAGUUUCAAGCCCAGUUUAACAUGUAGCCUGCCAGUUUUGAUAUUCACACUUUUGGGUCCGUAGUUCUCAACAAGCAUAAAAAAUUGAGUGCUUUAGCAUCAAAUUGAAUACAUAUCUUUUUGUGAAACAAUCUAAAACAUUUGGAAACCUCAUUUUUUGUAUGCAUCAAAUAAAUCCAUGCCAUCCUACUAUAAUAGUCAAUGGAAGAGAAAACAUCUAUAACUAGAUGGUGAAACAUGUUGAGUAGGACCCCAUAUAUCAUAAUGAACAGUCAUGAAAUGAACAAAACUUUUAUUAUUAUAGAGGGAUAAGGAAUUUUUGCUUGUUUUACAAACUCACAAGCAUCGCAAACUAUGGACUUUAUUUUGUAUUGCCCAAAUGAACUAGUAUAUAACUAGUAAAAUAGAUAAAGAUAGAAAAAGGAUUUGAAAUGAG
rnacentral:misc_RNA from 1 species